GUGCCAGCAGCCGCGGUAAGACGAACCGUGCAAACGUUACUCGGAUUCACUGGGCUUAAAGGGCGCGUAGGCUGUCCGCUAAGUCGUGGGUGAAAUCUUUCGGCUCAACCGGAAGACUGCCCUCGAUACUGGCGGGCUAGAGGGAGGUAGGGGCAGCGGGAACUGCCAGUGGAGCGGUGAAAUGCGUUGAUAUUGGCAGGAACGCCGGUGGCGAAAGCGCGCUGCUGGACCUUCCCUGACGCUGAGGCGCGAAAGCUAGGGGAGCAAACGGGAUUAGAAACCCCUGUAGUCC
rnacentral:rRNA from 1 species